CCGUUGCAGGUAUCGCCAGAGAUGGCUUAGUGCUCGAAAGAGAACCGUAACACAGGUGCUGCAUGGCUGUCGUCAGCUCGUGUCGUGAGAUGUUGGGUUAAGUCCCGCAACGAGCGCAACCCUUGUCAUUAGUUGCUACAUUCAGUUGGGCACUCUAAUGAGACUGCCGGUGACAAACCGGAGGAAGGUGGGGAUGACGUCAAGUCCUCAUGGCCCUUAUAGGUGGGGCUACACACGUCAUACAAUGGCUGGUACAAAGGGUUGCCAACCCGCGAGGGGGAGCUAAUCCCAUAAAACCAGUCGUAGUCCGGAUCGCAGUCUGCAACUCGACUGCGUGAAGUCGGAAUCGCUAGUAAUCGUGGAUCAGAAUGUCACGGUGAAUACGUUCCCGGGUCUUGUAACACACCGAAGUC
rnacentral:rRNA from 1 species